rnacentral:rRNA from 1 species
AGAAGGCAGACCCGGAGAACUGAAACAUCUUAGUACCCGGAGGAAGAGAAAGAAAAAUCGAUUCCCUGAGUAGCGGCGAGCGAAACGGGAAGAGCCCAAACCAACAAGCUUGCUUGUUGGGGUUGUAGGACACUCUAUACGGAGUUACAAAAGAACAUGUUAGACGCAUCAUCUGGAAAGAUGAAUCAAAGAAGGUAAUAAUCCUGUAGUCGAAAACAUAUUCUCUCUUGAGUGGAUCCUGAGUACGACGGAGCACGUGAAAUUCCGUCGGAAUCUGGGAGGACCAUCUCCUAAGGCUAAAUACUCUCUAGUGACCGAUAGUGAACCAGUACCGUGAGGGAAAGGUGAAAAGUACCCCGGAAGGGGAGUGAAAGAGAACUUGAAACCGU